rnacentral:rRNA from 1 species
AUAGCCUUAGGAAUUUAUUUAAGGUUUAGCCUGCCCAAUGUUUAAAUUAAUGGCCGCAGUACCUUAACUGUGCAAAGGUAGCAUAAUCAAUUGGCUUUUAAAUGGAGUCUUGUAUGAAAGGAGUGACGUGGUAAAGCUGUCUCAAUUUUGUUUUAUUUAACUUACUAAAAAGGUGAAAAAUCCUUUAAUUAUGAAAAAAGACGAGAAGACCCUUAGAGUUUUUAUAAAAGUUUAUUAACAUAAGCUAAGUAUUUGUUGGGGCGACAAGGAAACAAAUAACUUUCCUGUUUUACUAGACGUGUUUUCAAAGUAAGAUUAAACUACCUAAGGGAUAACAGCAUAAUUCUUUUUGAGUUUGUGACCUCGAUGUUGGACUAGGAACUAACCAGACAAGCCGUCUGGCUUUGUGGCUCUGUUCGAGCUU